UACGUAGGUCCCGAGCGUUGUCCGGAUUUAUUGGGCGUAAAGCGAGCGCAGGUGGUUUAUUAAGUCUGGUGUAAAAGGCAGUGGCUCAACCAUUGUAUGCAUCGGAAACUGGUAGACUUGAGUGCAGGAGAGGAGAGUGGAAUUCCAUGUGUAGCGGUGAAAUGCGUAGAUAUAUGGAGGAACACCGGUGGCGAAAGCGGCUCUCUGGCCUGUAACUGACACUGAGGCUCGAAAGCGUGGGGAGCAAACAGG
rnacentral:rRNA from 1 species